UCGAACGAUGAUGCCCAGCUUGCUGGGUGGAUUAGUGGCGAACGGGUGAGUAACACGUGAGUAACCUGCCCCUGACUCUGGGAUAAGCGUUGGAAACGACGUCUAAUACUGGAUAUGAUCACUGGCCGCAUGGUCUGGUGGUGGAAAGAUUUUUUGGUUGGGGAUGGACUCGCGGCCUAUCAGCUUGUUGGUGAGGUAAUGGCUCACCAAGGCGACGACGGGUAGCCGGCCUGAGAGGGUGACCGGCCACACUGGGACUGAGACACGGCCCAGACUCCUACGGGAGGCAGCAGUGGGGAAUAUUGCACAAUGGGCGAAAGCCUGAUGCAGCAACGCCGCGUGAGGGAUGACGGCCUUCGGGUUGUAAACCUCUUUUAGUAGGGAAGAAGCGAAAGUGACGGUACCUGCAGAAAAAGCACCGGCUAACUACGUGCCAGCAGCCGCGGUAAUACGUAGGGUGCAAGCGUUGUCCGGAAUUAUUGGGCGUAAAGAGCUCGUAGGCGGUUUGUCGCGUCUGCUGUGAAAUCCCGAGGCUCAACCUCGGGCUUGCAGUGGGUACGGGCAGACUAGAGUGCGGUAGGGGAGAUUGGAAUUCCUGGUGUAGCGGUGGAAUGCGCAGAUAUCAGGAGGAACACCGAUGGCGAAGGCAGAUCUCUGGGCCGUAACUGACGCUGAGGAGCGAAAGCAUGGGGAGCGAACAGGAUUAGAUACCCUGGUAGUCCAUGCCGUAAACGUUGGGCGCUAGAUGUAGGGACCUUUCCACGGUUUCUGUGUCGUAGCUAACGCAUUAAGCGCCCCGCCUGGGGAGUACGGCCGCA
rnacentral:rRNA from 1 species